UAGUAGCAGGCUCACCCUCUGCUGACACAGCAUUUCCACAAGCAGUUUCCUUGUUCACUGUUGGGAAUUGCGCCUGAGAAAGGACUGACUUCGCUCUGAAGGAAACAAGUGAUCUAGAAGUGCCACCAGGAAUCUCAGCAUUGAAAGGCACCCUCUCAUCAACACCGAAAGAAACAGUUGAAGGCUCACAUGUCCCUCAAUGCAAAAUAUUUUCUUAGGAAAUCCUGUAGCAUCGUGUGCGGUUCUGAGAGUAUUAACAGGAAAUUUAAUGAAACUGGAGAAACUCAGGAGAACGCACAGAUGUUACCUUGCAAGCUGGGAUGUCUUACUUGCCAUGCUGGGGAAAGGGAAGAAUUAUUUCAUACAGCUGGGAUGAUUUUUGUGACUUUAGAAGUGAAAACUACUUACUUGUCAUUCUGUAGAAAUUACCACUGCUAGUGUCAUGGGGAGGGAGAGGGAAUUUAAGGAUUUCAUUUACACUCAAAAUGUUAGUCUGGUUCAACCACACUGGAAAAUAGCAUUAUGGAAAAAUAUAUCUAGAGAAAGAAAGUAGAUGA